GAAUCAAAAAUUUAUUUUUUACACGGAAACAAUGCCACAGUUGACUGAACCUGUCUUCCAACAGAAGUUAAUUGCCAGUGUUUCAAACAAGAUUUGAAAUACGAGUUUCCAAGAACAAUUUUAAUUUUGGACAAGAUAGGAAGUCCGAUUUCUGUGUUGUCUCAAGCGAGGCGAUAGAAUUGGGAUGUCGAAGAAAGUCUACAUUA
rfam:Saccharomyces arboricola H-6 chromosome XII, whole genome shotgun sequence.